UUUUGCAAUUUUCCCAAGGCCUAUAAAUAGUGAGGAGGUUUUCCCCAAACCCUCACAACACUUCUUUGCCCUUCUCGAUCGCUCAGACCCCCCGAUCCUUGAAUCGCCGAUUCCUUGAUCUUCAAGCUUUAAUUCAGCGAUUCGCAAGAUGUCUCCCACCGAUUCCCCUUUGAGAGAAUCCGAAACGUCGGCUCUUAUAGCUGACAUGAUGGAAGUUGACAACUUGGAUGUGGUGUUGAACACCAUUGAGUCGCCGAUUCCCUCUCCUGAUAGGGAGGUUGAGUCGGCGACUCUGGUCGUUCCAUCCCAAGAAUUGGUGCUGAGUGCCACCGUGCAC
rnacentral:lncRNA from 1 species